UACGGAGGGGGCAAGCGUUGUUCGGAAUUACUGGGCGUAAAGGGCGCGCAGGCGGCUGCUCAAGUCAGGCGUGAAAGGCCUGGGCUCAACCCGGGAAUUGCGCUUGAGACUGGGCUGGCUUGAGUGCGGGAGAGGAUGGUGGAAUUCCCAGUGUAGAGGUGAAAUGCGUAGAGAUCGGUAGGAACACCUAGGGGGAAACCAGUGGACUGGGCAUCGGCUGACGCUCAGGUGCGAAAGCGUGGGGAGCGAACCGG
rnacentral:rRNA from 1 species